CGGGAACUGCGCUUGAGACUGCCGCGCUGAGAGGCCGAGAGAGGAUAGCGGAAUUCCCAGUGUAGAGGUGAAAUUCGUAGAUAUUGGGAAGAACACCAGUGGCGAAGGCGGCUAUCUGGCUCGGUACUGACGCUGAGGCGCGAAAGCGUGGGGAGCAAACAG
rnacentral:rRNA from 1 species